CCCUUAGAUGUUCUGGGCCGCACGCGCGCUACACUGACGAAGGCAACGAGUCCCUUGGCCGGAAGGUCCGGGUAAUCUGCUAAACUUCGUCGUGAUGGGGAUAGAUUAUUGCAAUUAUUAAUCUUCAACGAGGAAUUCCUAGUAAGCGCGAGUCAUCAGCUCGCGUUGAUUACGUCCCUGCCCUUUGUACACACCGCCCGUCGCUCCUACCGAUUGAAUGGUCCGGUGAAGCGUUCGGAUGUGUGAGGCGAGACGGUCCGCCGUCCCUCCUCGUGCAGAAGUUCGUUAAACCUUNUNAUUUAGNGGAAGGAGAANUCGUANCA
rnacentral:rRNA from 1 species